UACGUAGGUGGCAAGCGUUGUCCGGAAUUACUGGGCGUAAAGCGUGCGCAGGCGGUUCGUUGUGUCUGAUGUGAAAGCCCCGGGCUCAACCUGGGAAUGGCAUUGGAAACUGGCGAGCUAGAGUGUGGCAGAGGGGGGUGGAAUUCCGCGUGUAGCAGUGAAAUGCGUAGAGAUGCGGAGGAACACCGAUGGCGAAGGCAGCCCCCUGGGCUGACACUGACGCUCAGGCACGAAAGCGUGGGGAGCAAACAGG
rnacentral:rRNA from 1 species